rnacentral:rRNA from 1 species
UACGGAGGGUGCGAGCGUUGUCCGGAAUCAUUGGGCGUAAAGGGCGCGUAGGUGGCCCGGUCAGUUCGUGGUGAAAGCGCGGGGCUCAACUCCGCGUCGGCCAUGAAUACUGCUGGGCUGGAGCACUGUAGAGGCAGGCGGAAUUCCGGGUGUAGCGGUGGAAUGCGUAGAGAUCCGGAGGAACACCGACGGCGCAGGCAGCGUCCUGGCCGCUUGCUGACACUGAGGCACGAAAGCUGGGGGGAGCAAACAGG